rnacentral:misc_RNA from 1 species
UGGUCGUGGUGGUGAUCAUGAUGGUGAUGAUCGUCAUCAUGAUCAUGGUCAUGGUCAUGGUCAUGGUCAUGGUCAUGGUCAUCGUGAUCGUGGUCG